rnacentral:rRNA from 1 species
UACGGAGGGUGCGAGCGUUGCUCGGAAUCACUGGGCGUAAAGCGUACGCAGGCCGUCUUGUAAGUCGGGUGUGAAAUCCCGGGGCUCAACCCCGGAACUGCGCCCGAGACUGCAGGACUUGAAUGCGGGAGAGGAAAGCGGAAUUCCUGGUGUAGAGGUGAAAUUCGUAGAUAUCAGGAGGAACACCUGUGGCGAAAGCGGCUUUCUGGCCCGACAUUGACGCUCAUGUACGAAAGCGCGGGGAGCAAACAGG